rnacentral:rRNA from 1 species
CCUACGGGUGGCUGCAGUCGAGAAUCAUUCACAAUGGGGGAAACCCUGAUGGUGCGACGCCGCGUGGGGGAAUGAAGGUCUUCGGAUUGUAAACCCCUGUCAUGUGGGAGCAAAUUAAAAAGAUAGUACCACAAGAGGAAGAGACGGCUAACUCUGUGCCAGCAGCCGCGGUAAUACAGAGGUCUCAAGCGUUGUUCGGAAUCACUGGGCGUAAGGCGUGCGUAGGCUGUUUCGUAAGUCGUGUGUGAAAGGCGCGGGCUCAACCCGCGGACUGCACAUGAUACUGCGAGACUAGAGUAAUGGAGGGGGAACCGGAAUUCUCGGUGUAGCAGUGAAAUGCGUAGAUAUCGAGAGGAACACUCGUGGCGAAGGCGGGUUCCUGGACAUUAACUGACGCUGAGGCACGAAGGCCAGGGGAGCGAAAGGGAUUAGAUACCCCAGUAGUC